rnacentral:rRNA from 1 species
CGGGACACGUGGUAUCCUGUCUGAAUAUGGGGGGACCAUCCUCCAAGGCUAAAUACUCCUGACUGACCGAUAGUGAACCAGUACCGUGAGGGAAAGGCGAAAAGAACCCCGGCGAGGGGAGUGAAAAAGAACCUGAAACCGUGUACGUACAAGCAGUGGGAGCCUCUUUAUGGGGUGACUGCGUACCUUUUGUAUAAUGGGUCAGCGACUUAUAUUCUGUAGCAAGGUUAACCGAAUAGGGGAGCCGAAGGGAAACCGAGUCUUAACUGGGCGUUAAGUUGCAGGGUAUAGACCCGAAACCCGGUGAUCUAGCCAUGGGCAGGUUGAAGGUUGGGUAACACUAACUGGAGGACCGAACCGACUAAUGUUGAAAAAUUAGCGGAUGACUUGUGGCUGGGGGUGAAAGGCCAAUCAAACCGGGAGAUAGCUGGUUCUCCCCGAAAGCUAUUUAGGUAGCGCCUCGUGAACUCAUCUCCGGGGGUAGAGCACUGUUUCGGCAAGGGGGUCAUCCCGACUUACCAACCCGAUGCAAACUGCGAAUACCGGAGAAUGUUAUCACGGGAGACACACGGCGGGUGCUAACGUCCGUCGUGAAGAGGGAAACAACCCAGACCGCCAGCUAAGGUCCCAAAGUCAUGGUUAAGUGGGAAACGAUGUGGGAAGGCCCAGACAGCCAGGAUGUUGGCUUAGAAGCAGCCAUCAUUUAAAGAAAGCGUAAUAGCUCACUGGUCGAGUCGGCCUGCGCGGAAGAUGUAACGGGGCUAAACCAUGCACCGAAGCUGCGGCAGCGACACUAUGUGUUGUUGGGUAGGGGAGCGUUCUGUAAGCCUGCGAAGGUGUGCUGUGAGGCAUGCUGGAGGUAUCAGAAGUGCGAAUGCUGACAUAAGUAACGAUAAAGCGGGUGAAAAGCCCGCUCGCCGGAAGACCAAGGGUUCCUGUCCAACGUUAAUCGGGGCAGGGUGAGUCGACCCCUAAGGCGAGGCCGAAAGGCGUAGUCGAUGGGAAACAGGUUAAUAUUCCUGUACUUGGUGUUACUGCGAAGGGGGGACGGAGAAGGCUAUGUUGGCCGGGCGACGGUUGUCCCGGUUUAAGCGUGUAGGCUGGUUUUCCAGGCAAAUCCGGAAAAUCAAGGCUGAGGCGUGAUGACGAGGCACUACGGUGCUGAAGCAACAAAUGCCCUGCUUCCAGGAAAAGCCUCUAAGCAUCAGGUAACAUCAAAUCGUACCCCAAACCGACACAGGUGGUCAGGUAGAGAAUACCAAGGCGCUUGAGAGAACUCGGGUGAAGGAACUAGGCAAAAUGGUGCCGUAACUUCGGGAGAAGGCACGCUGAUAUGUAGGUGAAGUCCCUCGCGGAUGGAGCUGAAAUCAGUCGAAGAUACCAGCUGGCUGCAACUGUUUAUUAAAAACACAGCACUGUGCAAACACGAAAGUGGACGUAUACGGUGUGACGCCUGCCCGGUGCCGGAAGGUUAAUUGAUGGGGUCAGCGCAAGCGAAGCUCUUGAUCGAAGCCCCGGUAAACGGCGGCCGUAACUAUAACGGUCCUAAGGUAGCGAAAUUCCUUGUCGGGUAAGUUCCGACCUGCACGAAUGGCGUAAUGAUGGCCAGGCUGUCUCCACCCGAGACUCAGUGAAAUUGAACUCGCUGUGAAGAUGCAGUGUACCCGCGGCAAGACGGAAAGACCCCGUGAACCUUUACUAUAGCUUGACACUGAACAUUGAGCCUUGAUGUGUAGGAUAGGUGGGAGGCUUAGAAGUGUGGACGCCAGUCUGCAUGGAGCCGACCUUGAAAUACCACCCUU